UGUUUGCUUGCUGCACGAAGAGAGAGAUCAAGAAGGAUCGAGAGAGCCAGACAGGUCAAGAAGGAUCGAGAGCGUGCAGGUGUGUUUCUUUGCUUUCCGGAGAGAGAGAGAGAGAGAGAGAGAGAGAGAGAGAGAGAGAGAGAGAGGAGUUAUUCAGGAUCGAGAGUGCAGGUUUGUUUCUAGAGAAAGCAUAGUCGAAACACAGAGAGAGAGAGCGCGCGCGAAAGAGAGUGGUGAUUCCGUUUUGCUGUGAGGAGGAAGAAGAUAUGCGUCUUGGAUAGGGGUAUUGUUCGGUUUUGCUGUGAGAAGGAGGAGGAUCUGCGUUUUGGAUAACUCUGUCGGGGGUAUUGUUUGUGCUUCAGUUUAUUUCAGUGAUUGAUUGGAGGAGGUUCAAGAAGAAAAGAAAAGAAGAACAAGAGGAAGAAGAAAAGGAAGAAGAAGAGGGAAAUCGAGUAAAUUGAUCAUCCCAGAGAACUCAUUGUGGAAGAGAGAGAGAAAGAGAGCCAGAGAGACGAAGAAGACCUGCGUUUUGGAGGAAGACCUGCAUCCGUCUGGGUUUGUUUUGAGAUCGAUCUCAAUUAUUUAGGGAUUGCUGAUGGGUUUUCCAUUCAAUCGAGAGCACCUGUUUUUGUAAAGCCUCAAGCACUGCAAUAGAAAAGAGAAGAAGGCAAAUCAGUUUCGUCUCCAAUUUCACAGACUUUAUGCAAAAAAGUAUUGGUGCCGUUUAUCUGCUGCUGUUCUAUCUGUUAGUAUUAUCUUGGUUUCCCAUUGUCAUCCAGUUUGCAGUCAGAUUCCUUGAAUCUUUUGGAUACUGGAAAACUGUGGAACAAGUGGUUGAUUAUCUAAUGGGUGAUCUAAGCACAAGAGUGUUCUGUUGGCAUUUUGGAGUCAACCUUCUUGCUUGGUCAUAUCGUUAGUAAAUGUUUGGAAUGAUCUGCCAGAAGAAAUUUAGGGCUUGACAGAGUCUAAAAGCCAUGAGAGAAGAUGGUGUGUACACAAAAGAUAUGGGGGGUUUUCAAUCCAUUCCAUACGAGUUUCUAAAAUUUUGAUUUGUUUUAGUUUUUCCCCGUUCUCUUAAUUUUACUAAAACCUGUCUUCAUUUGAUUGUGUACAGCUCCUUGCUUUCUCUAGCUCACGCCUACUUAACAGUAAUCGACUCAGAAUAGUUCUUGGUGGUGAAGGUGCAAUACUGACCGCACUGUGUUGCAUUUGGGUCUCCAUCUAAAGAGACUCAAAGAGGAUCUACAUUGAAGGAUUUUAUAAAAAUUGGUUGCAGUGAUAGGGAAACAAAACAUGGAACAACAUCAUCAUCAUCAGCAGCACCAACAUCAGCAACCAAAAAACAAUCAUGCAAACAAAGAAGUGACUGAACAUGGAUGACCACCCUGUGCAGGUGUAACGUUUGCUAGGCUAACCUAUUUCAUGCAGUUGCAGUUGCAACUACAACAGCCACACUUUUUGUAUGACUGCAUUCACCCAAUUGAUUGGACUACUUUGUACAGCUGCAACCAGACAAAACACUCUUUUGGACAAACUCCAAUAUUGUUCAUUCAUAUCCAUCGUUAUUAUAAAUUCUUAUAUACAACAAAUCCCGCAGCAAAGCGCGGGUACAAUUUCUAGUACAUACUGAAUCCGCUGAUUUUUCCC